rnacentral:rRNA from 1 species
AGUGAACGCUGGCGGUAGGCCUAACACAUGCAAGUCGAACGGCAGGACAGUAAGAGUUUGCUCUUACGGGUGGCGAGUGGCGGACGGGUGAGGAAUACAUCGGAAUCUACUUUUUCGUGGGGGAUAACGUAGGGAAACUUACGCUAAUACCGCAUACGACCUACGGGUGAAAGCAGGGGAUCUUCGCACCUUGCGCGAUUGAAUGCGCCGAUGUCGGAUUAGCUAGUUGGCGGGGUAAAGGCCCACCAAGGCGACGAUCCGUAGCUGGUCUGAGAGGAUGAUCAGCCACACUGGAACUGAGACACGGUCCAGACUCCUACGGGAGGCAGCAGUGGGGAAUAUUGGACAAUGGGCGCAAGCCUGAUCCAGCCAUACCGCGUGUGUGAAGAAGGCCUUCGGGUUGUAAAGCCCUUUUGUUGGGAAAGAACAGCAGUAGGUUAAUACCCCGCUGUUCUGACGGUACCCAAAGAAUAAGCACCGGCUAACUUCGUG